GACGAAGGAUGCAAGCGUUAUCCGGAUUCAUUGGGUUUAAAGGGAGCGUAGGUGGCCUGCUAAGUCAGUGGUGAAAUCUCUGGGCUUAACCCAAAAAUUGCCAUUGAUACUGUAGGACUUGAGUAUAGUUGCCGUUGGCGGAAUAUGACAUGUAGUGGUGAAAUACAUAGAGAUGUCAUAGAACACCGAUUGCGAAGGCAGCUGACGAAACUAUAACUGACACUGAGGCUCGAAAGUGUGGGGAUCAAACAGG
rnacentral:rRNA from 1 species